CCAUUUCCAUUUCCCACCACCCACUUCUUGUAACAGUAAAAAAUGAAAUCUUUUUAGUGAGCGAAGCUGAAGCUCAGAGCUUUACACACAGGCAAAACCGAAACCACUCCGUUUUGCUUGAAUUCAAUCCCAUUCUCUCUCUCUCUCUCUCUCUAGAAAUGGAGCGCGCGAGGAAGCUAGCGAACCGUGCCAUCCUCCGCCGCCUCGUCUCCGAAUCGAAGCAGCAGCCAUUGCACAACCAAUCCUCGCGCUACGCCUCCUCCCUCUCCCCCAGCGUCGUGCAGGGCCGGAGCGCCGCCAAUGCCUCCGCCGCCAACCACCGCUUCUACUCUCGAAGCCUCGCCCAAUUCGUCGGCACCCGCUCCAUCUCCGUCGACGCCCUCAAGCCCAGCGACACCUUCCCGCGCCGCCACAACUCCGCCACGCCGGAGGACCAGUCCAAGAUGGCGGAGUUCGUCGGGUUCGAAACCCUAGAUUCCCUAAUCGACGCCACCGUCCCCAAAUCCAUCCGCGCGGGCGACAUGAAGUUUUCAAUCUUCGACGAGGGCUUGACGGAGGCGCAGAUGAUCGAGCACAUGAAGGAUUUAGCUUCG
rnacentral:lncRNA from 1 species